GUAACCUGCCUCAUACAGGGGGAUAACAGUUAGAAAUGGCUGCUAAUACCGCAUAAGACCACAGUACUGCAUGGUACAGUGGUAAAAACUCCGGUGGUAUGAGAUGGACCCGCGUCUGAUUAGGUAGUUGGUGAGGUAACGGCCCACCAAGCCGACGAUCAGUAGCCGACCUGAGAGGGUGACCGGCCACAUUGGGACUGAGACACGGCCCAGACUCCUACGGGAGGCAGCAGUGGGGAAUAUUGCACAAUGGGCGAAAGCCUGAUGCAGCGACGCCGCGUGAAGGAUGAAGUAUUUCGGUAUGUAAACUUCUAUCAGCAGGGAAGAAAAUGACGGUACCUGACUAAGAAGCCCCGGCUAACUACGUGCCAGCAGCCGCGGUAAUACGUAGGGGGCAAGCGUUAUCCGGAUUUACUGGGUGUAAAGGGAGCGUAGACGGCUGUGCAAGUCUGAAGUGAAAGGCAUGGGCUCAACCUGUGGACUGCUUUGGAAACUGUGCAGCUAGAGUGUCGGAGAGGUAAGUGGGAAUUCCUAGUGUAGCGGUGAAAUGCGUAGAUAUUAGGAGGAACACCAGUGGCGACGCGGCUUACUGGACGAUGACUGAC
rnacentral:rRNA from 1 species